ACGGGUGAGUAAUGUCUGGGAAACUGCCUGAUGGAGGGGGAUAACUACUGGAAACGGUAGCUAAUACCGCAUAACGUCGCAAGACCAAAGAGGGGGACCUUCGGGCCUCUUGCCAUCAGAUGUGCCCAGAUGGGAUUAGCUAGUAGGCGGGGUAACGGCUCACCUAGGUGACGAUCCCUAGCUGGUCUGAGAGGAUGACCAGCCACACUGGAACUGAGACACGGUCCAGACUCCUACGGGAGGCAGCAUG
rnacentral:rRNA from 1 species